rnacentral:rRNA from 1 species
UACGUAGGGUGCAAGCGUUGUCCGGAAUUAUUGGGCGUAAAGAGCUCGUAGGCGGUCUGUCGCGUCGGCUGUGAAAACUUGGGGCUCAACCCCAAGCCUGCAGUCGAUACGGGCAGACUAGAGUGCGGUAGGGGAGACUGGAAUUCCUGGUGUAGCGGUGAAAUGCGCAGAUAUCAGGAGGAACACCGGUGGCGAAGGCGGGUCUCUGGGCCGUAACUGACGCUGAGGAGCGAAAGCGUGGGUAGCAAACAGG